UGAAGGAUCUGACCAUGAUCAGCACUCUCUCCAAACUAGAACUCCCAGGAUAGGAAUGGUAUAAAACACAUACAUAUUUGUAGUGUAGAUAGGUGCCCACCAGCUACAUCUCUCCCUAGUGCUGAAGGAUGAGACCUUGCCCCCAUCCUGGCAGGUGGCAAUUAUGAUAUCACCUGUGGUUUCUCUAUGAUGAUGUGCUCAUUUUCUCCUUGGUGAGGAGGUCAGGCUCAGUGAUGUGAAGGAUGCAAGAGAAGCAGCAGUAUCUCACAAGGGCAGCUUGGUUCCCUUCUCCUGUUCUAAGAAUAGGUGGCAUAAUCAUGGCAAAGCAGUUGUGCUCCUUUUAAAUAUACAAAUGAACGGUAAGGCUGCCGGGCCAACUUACAAGGAACUGCUAUCUGUUCUCUGAAGAGUGAGAUACUUCUCCAAGUAGGUGAAAAGGACACCUUUGUCUUGCAAAUGUACAGACUUCUAUGGAGAACUGGAUAAGAGGAAACAAUCUUUAUCUGAAGGAAAUAACUUGGAUUAAAAAGCAUAAUCCAAUUCAUGGUUUCCCCGCAAGCUCAAAAAAGCAACAAACUCAUAACAAAAAGCCUGGUGAGAAGCAAGGAUCACCAACAUUGUUGCUUUGCUUCAGGAAGAAGAAAAUGUGAAACAUCACCAACAUGGAAAUAUAUCCAUAAGAAGAAGAUUCAGCAGGGAACACACUUCUUGUUUACAAAUGAUGCGUUAUCGUCUCGAACUAUCUGGUUGGUUUCCAUUUGCUUCCUCCAAUGACUCCAGCAUUACUUUUUUUUUAAAAGGUGCUGCUAACGCUUAGUCCAUGAUAAAUGAUAGUGACAGCACUGCAUGGAGAAGGGCUGUAGCCUCACCAGCAUCGCAGGAGAAACAUUUACAUUUUCAUCUCACCAGGCUCAGUAUUUUGCUUGCUGAUAUUACAUUUGCUCUUUUUGCUGAUUCUGGGCUGCAGCAGGUGGCUCCUUAUCUUGUGGCUGGUUCUGAGACCACAAGUUAUGGUUUGUCUGGUCCUCCAUGGCACUUUAAGAUGUCACAAAACUGGCCCAGAUACGUUAGUCCUUCGUAAACAUCAGAGCCGUUCUGGGCUGCUUUUGCAAUAGUGAAAAAUCAAUUUUCUUGAUUAAUAUAUUGCAUUUGGACAGUAGGAAUGUGCAAACUGGCUCAAGGUAGAGACAGUUCACCAUCGAACCAGGCCUGUUUGAUGGCUCGGCUCAACCUUGGGCACACAAAUGGCCAGUGCACACAUGCGGCAGUCUUCAAAAUGGCCACCGUGAGCAGGGAGAGGGCUGAAAAGGCCUGUAAAUGGGCCAAACUGGCCCUAAAAGGACUGGAGGGAGACCAGCGGGGGGAGCAGGAACCAUUGGAGACCACCCACAGCUAUGGCAGUACCCCCUGGAGGCUGCCGGACCAGGUGAAUGCUGACACCUAAUGGUAUUCGACUGGAACUGCUUCCAUACAUCUCCAUUGCUGAGAACGACUUAGGAGCCAUUCACUCAACCCUGUUGAUAUGAUGGAAUCUGAGUUUAAAUAAAUACAAGUUUUGUUUGCAAUGCAGUAAAUCAGCCUUUUGGACAAUUUUCCACAGGUCCCCGCAUCCCUUACAAGCCUGGUGUCACUUGCCCUUUGGAAUUUAGAAUCUGACCAGGCUGGAAUGGGGAACUCUUACUUCCUCUGCUCUGCCAUUUUGGAGAAGAGCCAGCAGCAUGGUUGGGGUGGCUCACAGACUGUGCGUCUUCUUCUUUCUUUCUCACUCAGCAAAAUGAGCAAGCCUGAGGGGAAACAGGCAGCCACACAUUGGAGAGUUCUUCUAGGGGAAAUGGGACCUGCUCUCCUCUAUUCUUUGGUAUCACACCCCCUUUGGGGAAUUGAGGUGCUAAAUAUCUAGCUUCCCUACACUUUUAAAAGUUUAGGAUGGCAUUUACUAGUAUGAACGUGUUGCACUCAGCCCUUUUGGAAAAAAGAUUUGAUAAGGGAUUGUCAGACUCUGGCUUAUGCCUUUGUGGUGCAGGCCUCCCUGAAACAGUUUUACAUGUGUUGUUAUAUUGCUCUUUUUACAAUGAUACUAGGAAAGAACUUAUAUUCCCUCUACUAGAGCAAUUUCCAGGAAGAGCCGACCCCUUUUAUUUGAAUUUCUGUCUUGAGGAUCAAAAUAAUGAGGUUACUAAGGUGGCGGCAAAAUUCUUUUUUGUCGCAAUUAGAUUAAGAUCUUGUCUAAGGUUUAAUUCAUAGGAGCUUACAGUUUUAUUCUGCUUUAUAUGUGUUAUAUAAUGGUUGGUACAUUGUGUUUUUAAUCUUGUUUAAUCUUUCUUGUAUGUUUUCUGUAUGGCCUAUGGCUGUAAUAAAAAUGAUUGAUUGAUUGACA